UUUUGAAAUAAAAAUAAUAUUGCAUAGAAUCAACCAGAAAUGUCAUCACAAAGGUGAGCUCUCAUAAACUGAGGAGGCUCUGACCAAUAGACACAUGAAGCAUUCUGACAUGAAGCUCUUGCAAGAGCAUGAGCUGAUGCGUUUGCUUGCCGUGGGAGCCAGCAAAUUGAUAAAUGAAGACCCUGCGCAAUGAGUUGCCGGCAAUCAUCCAAAAGAACACCAAACUCUGAUAAAUCUUGCUCUGCAGAAUUAACGCUACGAACCAACUCGAUCCACAGUCAACUUCCAGUUGAACAUGAUGGUAUUGCUGAUUACACGACCACAUCAACGCAUGUCUCAGAGCAAUUGCCUCAGCAACCUUCGGUUCCCUCAUCCCUGAAGACCAACCUAAACCAGCAACAAGAAAAUCUCCAUCUGCAUUUCUUAAAACAAAACCAUACCCUGUACAGCAUUUAUCUACAAAUAAAGCACUAUCAACAUUACAUUUCAAGAAACCCACAGCAACCCUAAAAUUUUGUUUCUAAUUUUAACUUCAAUUUGGAAAUCUAUGGAAAUAAUAAUCAAUUAAUUCUUGCUUCUUGCAGGUGUUUUCCUUGUAAAUUUAUAUUCAGCUUGCUCUGCAUAAUGUCUAUCGCUAUUAUCAAUAAAGAAUAUAAUUAUAUUAGGCCUUGGUCAGUAUAAUGGAUUUGCUGAAUGUUGUAGGGAGAGGAAGUAAAGAAUAUGAUAAUAUUUUCUCCUUCAGGUAACAAAUUUUAGAGGAGAAAGGAGAAGAUUCUAGUGCUCCAGCUCGGCUCCUCCUAAGCUUUAAAAAAUUUGUUAGAGGUUUGUUUUCUUGAUCCUGUAAAUAAGGUAGGGUAGAAUAGGAAAUUAUUUUUGUUCUAGAUUAUUCUUUGUAAAUGUAUAUAAAUACAUUAUUCCAUCAAUAAACGAGCAACUUCUUUUGCUCAAAUUUACCAAUUAAUAACUAAAAAUUUUCAUGAUAUCAGAGCACAACCUGUGCUACUGAUAUACUGUUCUUUUCUAUAACAAGUCUUCGUGAAGAUGGAUGAAGUAAUAACAGAAACCACUGCUGCUAUUGGUAACACUUCUGCAACACAUGCUGGUGGUGGUGAGAAUGAUAUCCUCCACUUACAUAACUCUGACCACCAGGGAAUGAUGCUGGUGAGUUUACCACUCACAGGAAAGAACCACCUAUCAUGAAGUAGAUCCAUGGUGCUGGCUUUGAGGGCCAAGGACAAGUUGGGAUUUAUAGAUGGAAGUUAUGAAGCUCCAUGCAACAAAUAUGGAAAAAUGGAGAAAGGUGGAUAGCAUGGUCACAUCCUAAAUUCUAAACUCUCUCUCAAAAGAGCUAGUGGAUGCUUUCAUUUAUGCAACAUCUUCAAAGAACCUGUGGCAAGAGAUCAAAGAAAGAUUUGGAGAGAGCAAUGGACCUCUCCUAUAUCAGCUUAAGAGGGAGAUAAGUACCCUAACUCAAACUAAUACUUCUGUUUUAGUUUGUUUUACUAAACUCAAAAAAUUAUGGGAUGAAUUGGCUUGUCUUAAGCCACUGCUAGUGUGUGAAUGUGGUGUAGCAAAACAGAUGGAUGAAAUUAAUAAUGAGGGCAAGCUAAUGUAGUUUUUAAUGGGGUUGAAUGAAACAUAUGAUCAUGUUAGAAACCUGAUUCUCUUAAUGGAUCCAUUGCCGAGUAUAAACAAGGCAUAUUCUAUAGUGCUUAGGGUGGAAAAACAGAGGGAGGUUCACACUAUUGUAAUUGAGGAAUUCAAUUCAGCAAUGGUUGUCAAAGGGCAAUUUCAGAAAGAUAAAGGUCAGGGAAAGAAAAAGGAGUUUGGAAAAAGGGACACUAGAACAUGUGACCACUAUAAUACAAGUGGACACACUAGAGAUACAUGCUUCAAGCUACAUGGGUAUCCAGAAUGGUUCACUGAAUUGAAACAAAAAAAAGGAAAGGCCAAAGCAAAUUCAGUAGCCAAUGUGUAUGAAGAAAUACCUGAGUAUGAUGGCAAGUCAGAUUAUAAAAAAGAGGCAGCAGGAGUUUAUUGGGCACAUAUGAUUCAGCUGGAGAUUGCCAAAUAUAUGCAGAACCAGAAUCUUGCAACAAAUGAGGCAAGCUGUGUCAAUUACACAGGCUUUGCAGGUAAGAAACCAACUUACUACUCCUUUACCAAACAUGGUGAGAACAAAGGGAUAUGGAUAGUAGACUUAGGAGCCUCCACAAAUAUGUGUCAUGAUUUUUAACUUUUUCAAAACCCCAGAAAUUUGAAUGACCAAUGUUUUGUUACCCUGCCUGAUGGAAGUACCAAACCUGGGGCUCACAAGGCCAGAUCUUUCUGACGCCACACAAAAAUUGAGCCAAUUUAUGCAAGUUCCUCGCAAGCCACAUUGGGAUGCUGCCAUACAUGUCCUUAAGUACCUCAAAGGAUCUCCUUCCAAAAGCUUAUUCUUCCCACAAGAUAAUGAUUUAAGGCUCCAAGCAUUUUGUGAUGCAAAUUGGGCAUCUUGUCCCAUGAGUCGAAAGUCCAUUACUAGGUUUUGCAUCUUCUUGGGACCAUCAUUGGUAUCCUAGAAAGCAAAGAAACAGACCACUGUCAGUAGAUCCUCAGCCGAAGCUGAAUACAGAAGCAUAGCAGCAACAGUCUGUGAGCUAAAAUGGAUUAGUUAUCUUCUUACUGAUUUUGGCUUGAAACUAUCUCUUCCUAUUGCCUUACACUGUGAUAACAAGGAGGCAGAGCACAUUGCAAACCCGAUCUUUCACGAGAGGACAAAACAUCUUGAAAUAGAUUGUCAUGUAGUUCGUGACAAGAUAAACCAUGGGUUCAUCACCACCAUACAUGUGCCUUCUAGACACCAGCUCGCUGAUCUAUUUACAAAACCUCUCACCUCUGUCUUGUUCAAUGAACACCUCUUCAAGAUGGGACUUCGUGAUGUACACGAGUCUCCAUCUUG
rnacentral:misc_RNA from 1 species